GUGUGAAUCAUGGCAAUGCAGUGAAAGACGGUGAUUUACAGCUUUUGAGGGCAUGCAUGUAUAUGAUUAAGGGAUGGAGGUGAAGGACUGCAAGAUUUACUUCCUUCCCUUUCCAGCAGAGUUACCUGAGAGGAGUGAGUAAUUGGAUCGUUUGUAACACCACAGGCCCCUUUUCAAGAGACCAGUAAUCAAAACAGGAAGACAAAACUGAGAAGAUUUCAACUGGGAGAAUACAACUUUUGACACUUUCUGGAUAUACCUCUUAGCAAACAGGAGAGUCUUCAGAGUUUUCCUGUUUUAUUUUUUCAUGGAGAUUUUCGUUAAAAAGAUAUCACUGGAUGGAACCGAGCAGGAGAGGAGGAAAGUGGCAGAUACUGUGUGACGGCUGAGAAGCAGUGUUGUAUAUAAGGAAGUCCCAUGCUGGAGCGGAACCAGCAGGAAGAGAAAAGAUGGGGAUGAUGUGAGAAUUCAAAGCUGGAAAGGUCAGGACUUGGUGACUGAAGAUGGGAAAGGCGUCGGAGAGGAAUGUCAUAACGAGGGUUUCAAGCCUGGGACCGAAGUUCCCCAAACUGUUGUUUCCUGCCUCUAUCUGUUCUGCAUUUCCACCCUCCUAAUUCAACAGGUAAAAUCUGCUGGUGGAGUCACUCCAUUAUUCUUAUCCAUGGAGAGCUAGAUCUUGAUUUGAACGUUUCUGAGAAAAUCUUCAGCUCAGACUUGAGGUCAACUUUCCAACUGAAGGUCAUCCCUGCGUUACUACUAAACAUCCUUCUCAAUCGCCCCCAAUCCACGAGUGGCUGUUCUCCAUUGUGUAUUUCACCAGAUGUCCUCGAAACCGACAGACAGAAAAAGGAAGUGGCUUAUGGAAUGGGCUGUUGCCAGCUUCUGCUUUCCUGCCCCAGUCCCAGCAUGGACUGA
rnacentral:lncRNA from 1 species